CAGUAGCCACGGUAAUACGUAGGUCCCGAGCGUUGUCCGGAUUUAUUGGGCGUAAAGCGAGCGCAGGCGGUUAGAUAAGUCUGAAGUUAAAGGCUGUGGCUUAACCAUAGUACGCUUUGGAAACUGUUUAACUUGAGUGCAAGAGGGGAGAGUGGAACUCCAUGUGUAGCGGUGAAAUGCGUAGAUAUAUGGAGGAACACCGGUGGCGAAAGCGGCUCUCUGGCUUGUAACUGACGCUGAGGCUCGAAAGCGUGGGGAGCAAACAGGAUUAGAUACCCCGGUAGUCCCUGUCUCUUAUACC
rnacentral:rRNA from 1 species